GCGGGCGUGGUUCAAUGGCAGAACGAAAGCUUCCCAAGCUUUAGACGAGGGUUCGAUUCCCUUCGCCCGCUCCA
rnacentral:tRNA from 1 species